UUAUGGCUCAGGAUGAACGCUAGCGAUAGGCCUAACACAUGCAAGUCGAGGGGCAGCACAUGAGUAGCAAUACGAUGGUGGCGACCGGCGCACGGGUGAGUAACACGUAUGCAACCUACCUUUAACAGGGAAUAACCCGUUGAAAACGGAACUAAUACUCCAUAACACAGGGGUCCCGCAUGGGAAUAUUUGUUAAAGAUUUAUCGGUUGAAGAUGGGCAUGCGUUCCAUUAGCUUGUUGGUGAGGUAACGGCUCACCAAGGCUACGAUGGAUAGGGGAACUGAGAGGUUUAUCCCCCACACUGGAACUGAGACACGGUCCAGACUCCUACGGGAGGCAGCAGUGAGGAAUAUUGGUCAAUGGAGGCAACUCUGAACCAGCCAAGUCGCGUGAAAGGAUGAAGGUCUUAUGGAUUGUAAACUUCUUUUGCAAGGGAAUAAAGUGGGGGACGUGUCCUCCUUUGCAUGUACCUUGCGAAUAAGGAUCGGCUAACUCCGUGCCAGCCGCAGC
rnacentral:rRNA from 1 species